rfam:Kluyvera intestini strain GT-16 tig00000000, whole genome shotgun sequence.
CACAUAAACCCGGCAAAUGUGAGCUAAGUCACUUCAAAGUUGCGUGCAGUCUCAGUAUCAUCCGAAGAGUUAAACCCUCGCUGCCAGACGGCGAGGGUUUUUCUUUGGA